rnacentral:rRNA from 1 species
UGCCAGCCGCCGCGGUAAUACAGAGGGCCCGAGCGUUAAUCGGAAUCACUGGGCUUAAAGAGUGUGUAGGCGGACAUAUAGGUACUUUGUGAAAUCCCACGGCUCAACCGCGGAAUAGCUUGGUAAACCAUAUGUCUUGAGGCAGGUAGGGGUGGUCGGAACGAUAGGUGGAGCGGUGAAAUGCGUAGAUAUCUAUCGGAACGCCAACGGAGAAGUCAGGCUCACUGGCUCGAUACUGACGCUGAGGUACGAAAGUGUGGGGAGCAAACAGGAUUAGAUA